UACGGGGGGAGCAAGCGUUGUUCGGAUUUACUGGGCGUAAAGGGCGCGUAGGCGGUCAGCACAAGUCAGUUGUGAAAUCUCCGGGCUUAACUCGGAAAGGUCAACUGAUACUGUGCGACUAGAGUGCAGAAGGGGCAACUGGAAUUCCUGGUGUAGCGGUGAAAUGCGCAGAUAUCAGGAGGAACACCGAUGGCGAAGGCAGGUCUCUGGGCCACUACUGACGCUGAGAAGCGAAAGCAUGGCGAGCGAACAGG
rnacentral:rRNA from 1 species